CUACAUACAAUUUCAAACUUGCUAAUGCCUGAAUUUUUCGAUACUGUCCAGAUUUGAUUUGUCAGUUACGAAAAAAUUUUCAGCAUCUCAAAGAUCUGUUGAUCGAAUGUUCCAAAUUUGAUACUCAGUUACGAAAAUACUCUCAGUAUCCCAAAGAUCUGUUCAUCGAAUGAUUCAAAGUAUACGAAUUUUAUCUAUCUCGUUUUUUCGUCUGGUGCUUUACGAAUUUAAAAGAUUUUUGGGAUAGCCUACAGUCAGCUGCAUUUCGCAUUUUAUUUGCUUUGCUUUGCUUUUUAUUUAGCUGGACUUUGUUUACGAUUAUGGAAAUAAUAUGAGGGGAUAAUAUUCACCUAGAUUCGCUAUCCCGAAAUGGUUUUAUGGGCACGCGGUGCACUUCUGACUCCGCAUGUACGGCGUAUCAUAAAUGCGUUGUGAUUUAACGUGCAGAUUUUCAUCAAAAAUUUUAUUCAUAUGGCAUGUAUUCGUAUUGUCUAGGUAGUUAAGGCAGCGAUACUCGCAGGGACAAUAAAGAGAAGAAUAAGAAGAAGAAACAGCUGCAUCAGCUAAAAUCCCCACGUUCCAUUUUGUCGUGGGAGCGAAAUCUAAAGUGGAUAUUAUUGUCAACAGAUUCAGGGGACAACGAGGCAAACCAUAUUUCGACUCGAUAAUUAUCGUCGACACGCCCCUCGCGCGUCAAGUUUCGAGAAUAAUAUCACGCAAUGCGAAUCGAACGACAUUGAAGGAAAUUAAAUACAAUGAAACUUUUUCGAAAACCGAAUACAAUUUCAUUCAGGAAAGAUGCCCGGAUGUGCCCAGUCUAUGCUAACUUCGGCGCCUUCGAAAAGUGUAGUUCUUUCGGGGACGAGUCUUCUUCUGGCCAUGGCAGCACCUCGAUGUGUCUUGUAGGAUAUCAAUGCGUAUUUUGCCUGAUUU